CGCAUGCGCACAACAGCGGCUUGAGAACCCUACUCCUCCUGUCACCAGUGGCUGUCACAACAUUGAGGGGCAAAAAGACAGCAGUGUGGGCCACGAAUCAGUCUGCUGAGGACAUAGAAUGUGAUUGAAAUGGAAGCUCGGAGACAGAGUCCCUGAUUAGUCAGAAGACUGGCCGAGUGCAGUUACCAACCCAAUAGAUCCUGUCUCUGAUGAUGCAGGCAGAGGAUAGAAAGAGAAGAAAACUGAGUGUGAGUUCUGGAAAAGGCGCAUCGGAGGAAUAUUAUCUAAGAGAGCGACCAAAAGAGGACGCAACAAGGAUGAAGAACAAAGUGACAAGCACAACAGCGUCCAGUGGUAAAAAGGCGUGGUCGUGGGACCAGUACCUGGAAGAGGUGAAGGCCAUGGCAGCUCCCCCAACGCUCUUCACUGAGGUCAGCAUCUCAUCUCUCCAACAGUAGAGACUGCUGUUGCCUGACUCCAAAAGCCUGUUCAUUAGGGGGCGCAGUAGCAAGAAUUAACACACAAUGAAAACUGAAAACGUUCGUACCGGAAUUGCAGUGAUUUUAUGACCAUAAGCCAGC
ensembl:lncRNA